GCCCGCUUAGCUCAGAUGGCAGAGCGCUCGCUUAGUAAGCGAAAGGUCGGUGGUUCGAUUCCGCCAGUGGGCU
rfam:Stylonychia lemnae strain 130c genome assembly, contig: Contig3567